GCUGGGCAUGGUGACGCAUAUCUGUAAUCCAGCUGCUUGGGAGGCUGAGGCAGGAGGACUGAGGGUUCAAAGCCAGCCUCAGCAAAAGUGAGGUGCUAAGCAACUCGAUGAGAUCCUGUUUCUA
rnacentral:sRNA from 1 species